UCUCGCUAAAGCCGGUGCAGGAUGAUGCUGAGCUCUGAAUCUUACAUGGUUCUGAAAGGCGCUGAGGUUCGUCCAUUCUAAACGAACGAUCGAUUUUCUGCUCCGCCAUGUUCACUGAAGUGUGUGGUGUGAAGCUGUAGUGUGUGGUGUGUAGCUGUAGUUUUUAGUGUGUAGCUGUAGUGUGUGGUGUGUAGCUGUAGUGUGUAGUUUUAGUGUGUAGCUGUAGUGUGUGGUGUGAAGCUGUAGUGUUUAGUUUUAGUGUGUAGCUGUAGUGUGUGGUGUGUAGCUGUAGUGUGUAGUUUUAGUGUGUAGCUGUAGUGUGUGGUGUGAAGCUGUAGUGUGUACUUUUAGUGUGUAGCUGUAGUUUUUAGUGUGUAGCUGUAGUGUGUAGUUUUAGUGUGUAGCUGUAGUGUG
ensembl:lncRNA